rnacentral:rRNA from 1 species
UACGUAGGGUGCAAGCGUUGUCCGGAAUUAUUGGGCGUAAAGGGCUCGUAGGCGGUCCGUCACGUCGGGAGUGAAAACUUGGGGCUUAACCCCAAGCCUGCUUCCGAUACGGGCGGACUAGAGGUAGGCGGGGGAGAACGGAAUUCCUGGUGUAGCGGUGAAAUGCGCAGAUAUCAGGAGGAACACCGGUGGCGAAGGCGGUUCUCUGGGCCUUACCUGACGCUGAGGAGCGAAAGCGUGGGGAGCAAACAGG